rnacentral:lncRNA from 1 species
UCGUGGCCGGCGGACGGAAUGGUCAGCAUGACGAGUCGGCGGUGGAGCUGUGAGAUAAGGCCGCGGCGGGUCGUGGAGCAAGGCCGUGGUGCGCAGCCGUUGCAGUGACGAGGCCGCGCUCGAGCAAGCGCAUAAGAUGUUGCAUGAUGGAGCCAAACCCCUGACCGGGUAGUGAUUUUCACCUGAGCACGACGGAUGAUUGUGGUACAUGUAACUUUCGCCUUGAUCUUUUUAUUUCUGCUAGUGACCUGUUGAUUCUG